rnacentral:rRNA from 1 species
GCUUGUCUCAAAGAUUAAGCCAUGCAUGUCUCAGUAUAAGUUCUUAUAUGGCGAAACUGCGAAUGGCUCAUUACAACAGUUAUAGUUUAUUUGAUGGUUGCUUACUACAUGGAUAGCCGUGGUAAUUCUAGAGCUAAUACAUGCGCCCAGACCCAACUUUUAGGAAGGGUUGUAUUUAUUAGGUACAGAACCAAUGCAAGCUCCGCUUGACCUUUUGGUGAUUCAUGGUAACCGAACGAAUCGCACGGCACCAGCUGGCGAUGGACCAUUUCAGUUUCUGACCUAUCAGCUUCCGACGGUAGGAUAUGGGCCUACCGUGGCAAUGACGGGUAACGGAGAAUUAGGGUUCGAUUCCGGAGAGGGAGCCUGAGAAACGGCUACCACAUCUAAGGAAGGCAGCAGG